UACUUUUCUUCGCUGGGAACCGAGGGAAAUUUUAGAGGUUAUUCCGGCCAAAAACACAAAAAAGCCUCGGGAUCAAAGCCCCAGGCGGCAGCCGCCAAACAGCAGGAACGAGUCGGGGUUCGGGUGGCUCCGGGCAACUUCUCGCCCCCCAGCCCAGGCUUCGGCAGAUGGGAAUGUGGCAGGGAAGCCGAGAGGAGUCGGGGAGCAGGGAGAAAAGUGAGAGGCCGAGCCCCGGGGGAGGCGGCUUGCUCUUAGUUAAAAGGAAAAACUGGAGAUGACUCAGUGUUGCUCUUUGCCUGGUGAAUAGAAGCAAACUUUGGUCCAUCUCUGCGACAAGAUAAUCACUCAGCAACACCCAGACAUGGACUACUCAUGCAUGCUACAUCAAGGACGAAUUGUAAAUGCCUUUUGUUAAGUGAAAGACUCAAAAGACCGCACCUCAUGUGAAUCACCUACACCACAGCCCAGCAGAGGAAAGACCCUACAAGAGAAAACAGGUCUCUCCUUCGAGAAUUAAAGUUACAAGAACUUCCACAACACCAUCUACACUUACAGAGGAGAAAUGUAAGUAUUAUGGUGAAGAGGGAGCAACGGUGUCGCCUACCCAGGG